GAUGAACGCUGGCGGCGUGCCUAAUACAUGCCAGUCGAGCGAACAGACGAGGAGCUUGCUCCUCUGACGUUAGCGGCGGACGGGUGAGUAACACGUGGAUAACCUACCUAUAAGACUGGGAUAACUUCGGGAAACCGGAGCUAAUACCGGAUAAUAUAUUGAACCGCAUGGUUCAAUAGUGAAAGACGGUUUUGCUGUCACUUAUAGAUGGAUCCGCGCCGCAUUAGCUAGUUGGUAAGGUAACGGCUUACCAAGGCAACGAUGCGUAGCCGACCUGCGAGGGUGGUAGGCCACACUGGAGCUGAGACACGGUCCAGACUCCUACGGGAGGGAGCAGUAGGGAAUCUGCCGCAAUGGGCGAAAGCUUGACGGAGCAACGCCGCGUGAGUGAUGAAGGUCUUCGGAUCGUAAAACUCUGUUAUUAGGGAAGAACAAAUGUGUAAGUAACUAUGCACGUCUUGACGGUACCUAAUCAGAAAGCCACGGCUAACUACGUG
rnacentral:rRNA from 1 species